CAGAGUUCAUGCCCCCCGGGGUAGUCCUCCACCCGUGCAUACCGUACCUCUGUUGCUUCGGCGGGUCGUCGAGACCCUCGGCCACCGGCGCCCGCUGGUGCGUGCCCGCCAAAGGACCUCAACUCUGAAUAACAGUCGUCUGAGUACUAUACAAAUAGUUA
rnacentral:misc_RNA from 1 species